GAUGAACGCUGGCGGCGUGCUUAACACAUGCAAGUCGAACGGAAAGGCUCCUGCUUGCAGGGGUACUCGAGUGGCGAACGGGUGAGUAACACGUGGGUGAUCUGCCCUGCACUUCGGGAUAAGCCUGGGAAACUGGGUCUAAUACCGGAUAGGACCACAUUUUGGAUGGUGUGGUGGAAAGUUUUUCGGUGUGGGAUGAGCUCGCGGCCUAUCAGCUUGUUGGUGGGGUAAUGGCCUACCAAGGCGUCGACGGGUAGCCGGCCUGAGAGGGUGUACGGCCACAUUGGGGCUGAGAUACGGCCCAGACUGCUACGGGAGGCAGCAGUGGGGAAUAUUGCACAAUGGGCGCAAGCCUGAUGCAGCGGCGCCGCGUGGGGGAUGACGGCCUUCGGGUUGGAAACUCCUUUCGCUAGGGACGAAGCGAAAGUGACGGUACCUGGAGAAGAAGCACCGGCUAACUACGUG
rnacentral:rRNA from 1 species